rnacentral:rRNA from 1 species
AGGACGAACGCUGGCGGCGUGCCUAAUACAUGCAAGUAGAACGCUGAAGAGAGGAGCUUGCUCUUCUUGGAUGAGUUGCGAACGGGUGAGUAACGCGUAGGUAACCUGCCUGGUAGCGGGGGAUAACUAUUGGAAACGAUAGCUAAUACCGCAUAAAAUGGAUUAUCGCAUGAUAAUCCAUUGAAAGGUGCAAAUGCAUCACUACCAGAUGGACCUGCGUUGUAUUAGCUAGUUGGUGGGGUAACGGCUCACCAAGGCGACGAUACAUAGCCGACCUGAGAGGGUGAUCGGCCACACUGGGACUGAGACACGGCCCAGACUCCUACGGGAGGCAGCAGUAGGGAAUCUUCGGCAAUGGACGGAAGUCUGACCGAGCAACGCCGCGUGAGUGAAGAAGGUUUUCGGAUCGUAAAGCUCUGUUGUAAGAGAAGAACGAGUGUGAGAGUGGAAAGUUCACACUGUGACGGUAUCUUACCAGAAAGGGACGGCUAACUACGUGCCAGCAGCCGCGGUAAUACGUAGGUCCCGAGCGUUGUCCGGAUUUAUUGGGCGUAAAGCGAGCGCAGGCGGUUAGAUAAGUCUGAAGUUAAAGGCUGUGGCUUAACCAUAGUACGCUUUGGAAACUGUUUAACUUGAGUGCAAGAGGGGAGAGUGGAAUUCCAUGUGUAGCGGUGAAAUGCGUAGAUAUAUGGAGGAACACCGGUGGCGAAAGCGGCUCUC